CCUACGGGUGGCAGCAGUGAGGAAUAUUGGUCAAUGGGCGCGAGCCUGAACCAGCCAAGUCGCGUGAGGGAUGACGGUCCUACGGAUUGUAAACCUCUUUUGCCGGGGAGCAAGCGUGUGUUCGUGAACGUGCGUCGAGAGUACCCGGAGAAAAAGCAUCGGCUAACUCCGUGCCAGCAGCCGCGGUAAUACGGAGGAUGCGAGCGUUAUCCGGAUUUAUUGGGUUUAAAGGGUGUGUAGGCGGGAUGCCAAGUCAGCGGUAAAAAUGCGGUGCUCAACGCCGUCGAGCCGUUGAACCUGGCGUUCUGAGUGGGCGAGAAGUAUGCGGAAUGCGUGGUGUAGCGGUGAAAUGCAUAGAUAUCGCGCAGAACUCCGAUUGCGAAGGCAGCGUACCGGCGCCAGACUGACGCUGAGGCACGAAAGCGUGGGGAUCGAACAGGAUUAGAUACCCUGGUAGUC
rnacentral:rRNA from 1 species